UGUAUCACCACAACCUCACACCACCGCUGUCAGCUUUCUGGUUUCUAUCCAUUCUGGUCCACAUUAACGCUAAGCCACGGGUGCACUAGACACAGUGCACUAGACACAGUGUGUGUCUCUUCCUGUGUUUUUCUCUGCCAAUACAACCUGUCAACGUUACUUAACAAUUAAGAUUUUCGUUCUAUCCUGCCUUGACAAAUAAUGAUUUUUCCUACUGCCACUAAGUUAUAGUGUGCUCUACUGUCUAACUCAGAUAUGACCAAUAGAUACUGCUCUCAAUCUUGUCAGAAGUCUGCUAAUAUAUUAAUAUUCAAGCUUAUGACAGACAGAGACUCCCAGAGUCUAACAGUUAACCCCUGAGGUCUCAGAAGAUAAUGGAGACAGCUACAAGAGACUAUCUGGAUUGUGGACAAAACUGGAUACCCUGAGAGUCAAGUGCCUUAUAUUGCCCAAGUCAAGGAUGAGCCCAAGGCCUUGAGCAUGCUGGGAAACUGCUGUACCACGGCGCUACCUGCCCCUCCAGGCGACUGUGUGCAUUUUGCAGCUGUAUUCAAGGACGGGCCCAGCAUGUCAGAGUUCUGGCCCUGUGUGAGCUGUGCAGAGAGCCCGGUGACACAUCCUGGACUGAGUAGAUGGCUCAGCAGGUGAAGGCACAAGCUUUGCAGGAUGCAACCCUGACAACUGGGUUUGAAUGUGGACACACACGCGGAGGGAGAGAACUGACUCUGGCCUCCACACACGAACACAGCAACCCAGCCAAAAAAAUGAAUACGGUUAAACAAGCAACCUUAAGAGUUCCUGACUUUACAAAGGAAAUGAUGAAUCUGGCCUUUGCUUUAAGAUAACAGGGACCAGAGAAGUGGGUGGGCACAAUGAGAAAAUGGGCUCAUGUGGAUCACGUUGAAACAUGGGGACCAGGUACCAAGAGGUUCCUUACAUGCCCUAC